rnacentral:rRNA from 1 species
AACUUCGGAAGAAGGUGUGCCUUUAGUAGGUGAUCCAUUUACUUGGUGAGCCCAAUGAGGCCGCAGAGAAUCGGUGGCUGCAACUGUUUAAUAAAAACACAGCACUCUGCAAAGACGAAAGUCGACGUAUAGGGUGUGACGCCUGCCCGGUGCUGGAAGAUUAAAUGAUGGGGUGCAAGCUCUUGAUUGAAGUCCCAGUAAACGGCGGCCGUAACAAUAACGGUCCUAAGGUAGCGAAAUUCCUUGUCGGGUAAGUUCCGACCUGCACGAAUGGCGUAAUGAUGGCCACACUGUCUCCUCCAGAGACUCAGCGAAGUUGAAAUGUUUGUGAUGAUGCAAUCUCCCCGCGGAAAGACGGAAAGACCCCAUGAACCUUUACUGUAGCUUUACAUUGGACUUUGAACAGAUCUGUGUAGGAUAGGUGGGAGGCUUUGAAGCGGUGCCGCUGGGUGUCGUGGAGCCAACCUUGAAAUACCACCCUGGUGUGUUUGAGGUUCUAACCUUGGCCCGUUAUCCGGGUUGGGGACAGUGUAUGGUGGGCAGUUUGACUGGGGCGGUCUCCUCCCAAAGUGUAACGGAGGAGUUCGAAGGUACGCUAAAUACGGUCGGAAAUCGUGUUGAUAGUGCAUUGGCAUAAGCGUGCUUGACUGCGAGACUGACAAGUCGAGCAGGUACGAAAGUAGGACAAAGUGAUCCGGUGGUUCUGUAUGGAAGGGCCAUCGCUCAACGGAUAAAAGGUACUCUGGGAUAACAGGCUGAUACCGCCCAAGAGUUCAUAUCGACGGCGGUGUUUGGCACCUCGAUGUCGGCUCAUCUCAUCCUGGGGCUGUAGCCGGUCCCAAGGGUACGGCUGUUCGCCAUUUAAAGAGGUACGUGAGCUGGGUUUAAAACGUCGUGAGACAGUUUGGUCCCUAUCUUCCGUGGGCGCUGCAAGAUUGAGAGAGCCUGCUCCUAGUACGAGAGGACCGGAGUGGACGCACCGCUGGUGUAUCGGUUGUCAUGCCAAUGGCAUUGCCGAGUAGCUAAGUGCGGAAGAGAUAACCGCUGAAAGCAUCUAAGCGGGAAACUCGUCUCAAGAUGAGUCUUGCCGGGGCCCUGAGCCCCCUGAAGGGCCGUUCGAGACCAGGACGUUGAUAGGUCGGGUGUGGAAGCGCAGCAAUGCGUUAAGCUAACCGAUACUAAUUGCCCGUGAGGCUUGACCCU